rnacentral:rRNA from 1 species
UUUUGGGGAAACCCGGGAGGUUAAAUCCCGGGAUAAAUUUUUUUGAACCCCCCAUGGUUUCAAAAAGGGAAAAGCCGGUUUUUGCUGUUCCAUUAAAAAAGGGAUCCCCCCUGCCAUAAGUUAGUUGGUAAGGUAACGGGCUUCCCAAGGCAACGAUGCAUUAGCCGCCCUGAGAGGGUGAUCGGCCCCCCCGGGAACUGAGACCCGGUCCAGACUCCUACGGGAGGCAGCAGUAGGGAAUUUUUCCGCAAUGGGCGAAAGCCUGACGGAGCAACGCCGCGUGAGUGAUGAAGGUCUUCGGAUCGUAAAACUCUGUUAUUAGGGAAGAACAUAUGUGUAAGUAACUGUGCACAUCUUGACGGUACCUAAUCAGAAAGCCACGGCUAACUACGUGCCAGCAGCCGCGGUAAUACGUAGGUGGCAAGCGUUAUCCGGAAUUAUUGGGCGUAAAGCGCGCGUAGGCGGUUUUUUAAGUCUGAUGUGAAAGCCCACGGCUCAACCGUGGAGGGUCAUUGGAAACUGGAAAACUUGAGUGCAGAAGAGGAAAGUGGAAUUCCAUGUGUAGCGGUGAAAUGCGCAGAGAUAUGGAGGAACACCAGUGGCGAAGGCGACUUUCUGGUCUGUAACUGACGCUGAUGUGCGAAAGCGUGGGGAUCAAACAGGAUUAGAUACCCUGGUAGUCCACGCCGUAAACGAUGAGUGCUAAGUGUUAGGGGGUUUCCGCCCCUUAGUGCUGCAGCUAACGCAUUAAGCACUCCGCCUGGGGAGUACGACCGCAAGGUUGAAACUCAAAGGAAUUGACGGGGACCCGCACAAGCGGUGGAGCAUGUGGUUUAAUUCGAAGCAACGCGAAGAACCUUACCAAAUCUUGACAUCCUUUGACAACUCUAGAGAUAGAGCUUUCCCCUUCGGGGGACAAAGUGACAGGUGGUGCAUGGUUGUCGUCAGCUCGUGUCGUGAGAUGUUGGGUUAAGUCCCGCAACGAGCGCAACCCUUAAGCUUAGUUGCCAUCAUUAAGUUGGGCACUCUAAGUUGACUGCCGGUGACAAACCGGAGGAAGGUGGGGAUGACGUCAAAUCAUCAUGCCCCUUAUGAUUUGGGCUACACACGUGCUACAAUGGACAAUACAAAGGGCAGCGAAACCGCGAGGUCAAGCAAAUCCCAUAAAGUUGUUCUCAGUUCGGAUUGUAGUCUGCAACUCGACUACAUGAAGCUGGAAUCGCUAGUAAUCGUAGAUCAGCAUGCUACGGUGAAUACGUUCCCGGGUCUUGUACACACCGCCCGUCACACCACGAGAGUUUGUAACACCCGAAGCCGGUGGAGUAACCUUUUAGGAGCUAGCCGUCGAAGGUGGGACAAAUGAUUGGGGUGAAGUCGUACAAAGGGGAAAGCCAA